UACCCAUCCCGAACACGACCGUUAAGCCCUCCAGCGCCGAUGGUACUUGGACCGAAGGGUCCUGGGAGAGUAGGAUGCUGCCAAGC
rnacentral:rRNA from 1 species